AUACGGAGGAUCCGAGCGUUAUCCGGAUUUAUUGGGUUUAAAGGGUGCGUAGGUGGAUUGUUAAGUCAGUGGUCAAAGUUUUCAGCUCAACUGAAAAAUUGCCGUUGAAACUGUCGAUCUUGAGUGCAAAUGAGGUAGGCGGAAUGUGUUGUGUAGCGGUGAAAUGCUUAGAUAUAACACAGAACUCCGAUUGCGAAGGCAGCUUACUGGGAUGCAACUGACACUGAUGCACGAAAGCGUGGGUAUCAAACAGGAUUAGAUACCCUGGUAGUCCACGCAGUAAACGAUGAAUACUAGCUGUAUGCGAUACACCGUAUGUGGCACAGCGAAAGCGUUAAGUAUUCCACCUGGGGAGUACGUUCGCAAGAAUGAA
rnacentral:rRNA from 1 species